UCAUGUGGAUUUAUUUUAGUUUUACUAUAAGGAUUAAAUGUAUACAGGUCCUCAUAAAUAUAAUAGUGAAUUAUAAAUAUAUUUAUACAAAGUUCAACUAAUAUAUGUUGUUUCUAUAAAACUUCUAAUAUUUGUAAAUAUGUCCCUCUGGUUUGUUACCACUUAUAUUUUAAGUAAAAUGUCAAUUUUGUCAUCACAUAUAUAUCCCUCCAAAAGCCACAGUAGUAUAAUAUAAGAGGGGCAAAAAUGUCAAGUUAUCUCAUAAACUAAUCAUGCUUAAGUAUUUAACCUAUGGUUAACUAAAAUUUUCUAACGAAUUCUAUUGAUGGGGAUAUUUUUAAAAUAUUAAAUAUUUUACAAGAACAAUAUAUGAAAGUUGAACUUUGUAAAAAUAUAUUUGUAAUUCAUAUUGUUUGUAGAGAUCUAUAUGAAAUUAACCCAUACUAUAAAGGCAUAUUUUUUUUAGUAUUUAGAAUCGAAAUCAGAAUAGGAAUAAGAAUGAACCUGAAUAAAAAACGGAAUGAUAAAA
rnacentral:lncRNA from 1 species